GGGGUUAUAGCUCAGUUGGUAGAGCACUGCAAUGGCAUUGCAGGGGUCAGCGGUUCGAAUCCGCUUAGCUCCA
rnacentral:tRNA from 5 species